rnacentral:rRNA from 1 species
UGUGAACUUAUACCUUACUGUUGCCUCGGCGCAUGCUGGCCCCUAAGGGGUCCCCCACUCCGGUGAGGAGCAGGCACGCCGGCGGCCAAGUCAACUCUUGUUUUUACACUGAAACUCUGAGAGAAAAAAAACAAAAAAACAAAAUGAAUCAAAACUUUCAACAACGGAUCUCUUGGUUCUGGCAUCGAUGAAGAACGCAGCGAAAUGCGAUAAGUAAUGUGAAUUGCAGAAUUCAGUGAAUCAUCGAAUCUUUGAACGCACAUUGCGCCCUCCGGUAUUCCGGAGGGCAUGCCUGUUCGAGCGUCAUUUCAACCCUCAAGCCUGGCUUGGUGUUGGGGCACUGCCCGUAGAAGGGCAGGCCCUGAAAUUCAGUGGCGAGCUCGCCAGGACCCCGAGCGCAGUAGUUAAACCCUCGCUUUGGAAGGCCCUGGCGGUGCCCUGCCGUUAAACCCCC